rnacentral:rRNA from 1 species
GAUGAACGCUGGCGGCGUGCCUAAUACAUGCAAGUCGAGCGAACGGACGAGAAGCUUGCUUCUCUGAUGUUACCGGCGGACGGGUGAGUAACACGUGGAUAACCUACCUAUAAGACUGGGAUAACUUCGGGAAACCGGAGCUAAUACCGGAUAAUAUUUUGAACCGCAUGGUUCAAAAGUGAAAGACGGUCUUGCUGUCACUUAUAGAUGGAUCCGCGCUGCAUUAGCUAGUUGGUAAGGUAACGGCUUACCAAGGCAACGAUGCAUAGCCGACCUGAGAGGGUGAUCGGCCACACUGGAACUGAGACACGGUCCAGACUCCUACGGGAGGCAACAGUAGGGAAUCUUCCGCAAUGGGCGAAAGCCUGACGGAGCAACGCCGCGUGAGUGAUGAAGGUCUUCGGAUCGUAAAACUCUGUUAUUAGGGAAGAACAUAUGUGUAAGUAACUGUGCACAUCUUGACGGUACCUAAUCAGAAAGCCACGGCUAACUACGUG